rnacentral:rRNA from 1 species
AGUGAACGCUGGCGGUAGGCCUAACACAUGCAAGUCGAACGGCAGCACAGUAAGAGCUUGCUCUUACGGGUGGCGAGUGGCGGACGGGUGAGGAAUACAUCGGAAUCUACUUUUUCGUGGGGGAUAACGUAGGGAAACUUACGCUAAUACCGCAUACGACCUACGGGUGAAAGCAGGGGAUCUUCGGACCUUGCGCGAUUGAAUGAGCCGAUGUCGGAUUAGCUAGUUGGCGGGGUAAAGGCCCACCAAGGCGACGAUCCGUAGCUGGUGUGAGAGGAUGGUAGCCGCCCUUGGAGGUGGAACAGCGUCACUGGACCUGAGGGACGGCGCAGAGUGGUAUGGGGGGCAGCAGGGGGGAACAUUGCACAAUGGGAGCGAGCGGGAUAAGGAGACCUUGGGGUUGGAAAGACGUCUUGCGGGGAGAGAACAGCUUCAGCUUGAGACGACGCGGGUGUGACGGUACCGAAAGAAGAAGCACCGGCUAACUACGUG